rnacentral:tRNA from 1 species
CGUGAGAAAUUCAUAAGAAGAAUGGUUUCGGCCCAUUAUUUGAGUAAACCAGUACUCUCUCAUGU